GCCACCGAUUUUGAUAUUGUGGAGACUGCGAGGCAAGAAGAAGAGGAGGAUAACUUUUUAGAUACUUUUGCAGAGGAAGAGGAGGAAGAGGGCUGCACUAAUGAUUACUGCCACUGCCAAGCACCACUUUUGAGGCUGCAGAAAGCUGUGAAAGAGAGGGAUGAGGCCCUGACCAAGAAAAGUGAGACCAUCCAAUCCAUUAGAGAGGACAACCUGAAGCUGAUCUCUGAGCUGCAUAGAGUGAGGAAGAGGUACCAGCUACUGAAAAGGCAGAUGGGGAUUCUCAGGGUGAGUCCGGCAAAGGAGAGGUCGGCAAAGAGGUCCCUCAGCUUUCAGGCCGAGGCAGACACAGCCCAAGAGGAGCUGCAGCUGGACCAAGUGACAGGUUCAGGGGACCAGACAGAGGAGGCUACAGCGUCCAGAUCUGGCAGCAAACUUAUCUUCCCGGGCUCUGCCAUCAGUGUGUUUCUUGAGGGAUUCAGGAAGACCUGUGAGGGCCCCAAUCCAAAUUAUAAGCUAAGGGAAAAUUGUGCCGGAAAGAUCAAAAGGGUGACGCAAUUGUUGAACUACAUGGCGAAGGAUGAGACCUACCAAUCCAAUCUCAUUUUCCUGACUAACCAUGACAAAAUAAGGGGGUGAAAGACAGCAAGGAAGCCAAGGUUGUUUCCAGAAAGACCCUGCUGGAGUGCCAGUCUCUUGCCAAGGCCAAGAUCCCAGAAGUGCUGAGUAAUUGUUUCUAAAUCUGUGAUGUCACUGUUAUUACACACAUAUAAACGUCAGACAUGUAUAGAGUGCAGUGUAAAGAUGCCUGUUAUUAUUUUCAUGUCCCCACAGAAACCUUGGAAGAAACAAGGACACAGAAAAAUCAGUACCAGUUUAAUGGAUACCUGUGGGCCUACUUUACCUCCAUAGACGGCCAUAGACCGGGCCUGGAUAAGAACCUGUUGGUGGAGGAGGCUAAAUGUGACCAGUCUGGGAUGUAUCUGAUCACUGUGGAGGAACACAAAACGAAUAGAGACCAUGGCAUGGUCCAGAUGUCGCUGACAAAGGAUGAGUACACUUGGUUUUUUAGACUUCCUCAAAUUCAAGCACUGCCUCCCAGGGGGAAAGAAGUCCCAGCACUUUUUUUUCAAUUCUACAAGCACUCAGCUCAAGAACCUGCCUGCCUACCUGAGGGAGGUAUGGAAGGAGAUGGGUCUGCCUGAAACUCCUACCUUCACUGACCUGCGGACCUCCAUUGUCACUCAUGUCAAAAACUUGCUCCCGAAGGCUGACAGGGAAAGGGUGGCCAACUUCAUGUGCCACGACAUCCAGACCGCAGAUACAUUUUAUGCCAUCAAUUUAAAUCCGUCCCAAGCCAGUGAAACCAGG